GUGCUCACUUUGGCAGCAAAUAUACUAAAAUUGGAACAAUACCGAAAAGAUUAGCAUGGUCCCUUGUGCAAGGAUGAUAUGCAAAUUCGUGAAGUGUUCCAUAUUUUU